rnacentral:lncRNA from 1 species
GCUUGGGGAACUUGCGUUCCAUGCAAGAACACAGCUGCGAAAAUCCUAUCCCCCAUCAGAAGUCUAAAAGCAAAUUUUUUCCCCUUUCAGGUGAAUGGCUUGGGUGUGUGCCGACAAGUCCUCACGUUGCCAGUCCCCAGAAAUUUUGUCCCAGGAAGGAGUCAGCAGUGGAGAUUAGUGGUACUUGCGAUGUCCCUGAAUGAUGUUUCCAAAGAAAAGGAGCCUCAAAAUGGAGAAUGGAGCGUGGAACUAAUCUGACCAUUAGCAUGAAGAGUUUAUUUCUUAACAUAAGAAGCCCUGGGUUUUCUUCAUCUACUCGGAACUGCCUUAUGAACCCUCUGUUGUUGCAAAAAAAUAGGUUGCAUAGGUAAAUUCCUUGAUAUACAGCAAUAUUAUCUUACAUAACUGGAAGCAAAAGUAGAUAGAUGAGCUAGGGAUCUGUGUGCUUUAGACAAGGCCUAAGAUGAGUUUCAGUUCCACCCUUUGUAUUGCCAUACAUUCAAUCCUUUGCAUUGCCAUAUAUUCAAUACAAUAUGACCAAGCCUAUGGAAUAUUAGUGAUCAUCAUAUAACAUGAGAACUUUACAGGGACAGCUGUACCAUGAAUCCGAAGUGCUUCACCUGAUAAGCGGAGCAGAAAAUUCUACCAUCAAAAUCCGAAGUCACUUGCUCUUCAGACUGGAAAGAGAGCAGUGCUGUCUUUUUUUUUUUUGCUUAAUUAAAUGCUAGUCUUAAUUUUCUUUACUCAAAUACUAGUGAUACAUGUGGUUUGCUUUCCCUAAAAGAGUGAUUUUCUUGGUAGCGGAUAGAAGCACUUUAAUUCCACAGCCUUUGGUCCUUUCAACUAUCAUUUCCACCUGAACCUGGGCAGAUGAUCCUUUCUAAAAACUGGGACUCCCAAGAUUAUUCCUAGAUUCUAGGAAGAAAUUAAAUAGGUGUUAAACAGCUGAGCAAUAACGGAAGUAACUUUGAGAGGUGGACCUGAAGAGCAGGAUAGGUAAGGAGGAGAUCAUAACUGGAGGUCAGUGAUGUUAGAGGAAGUUGGAUCUGAAUGCUUAUUAAGGUUAGAUCAAGAUCUGGUCAAGUCAGCUUGAUUAAACUUUCUACUGGGGAGUUAUUGUACAUUCACAAUGAUGCACAAUAAAAGCUGAAUUUGGUCUAGUGUGUCUAUCCA